rnacentral:rRNA from 1 species
UGCAGUCGAGCGAACAGACNGGAGCUUGCUCCUUUGACGUUAGCGGCGGACGGGUGAGUAACACGUGGGUAACCUACCUAUAAGACUGGGAUAACUUCGGGAAACCGGAGCUAAUACCGGAUAAUAUUUCGAACCGCAUGGUUCGAUAGUGAAAGAUGGUUUUGCUAUCACUUAUAGAUGGACCCGCGCCGUAUUAGCUAGUUGGUAAGGUAACGGCUUACCAAGGCGACGAUACGUAGCCGACCUGAGAGGGUGAUCGGCCACACUGGAACUGAGACACGGUCCAGACUCCUACGGGAGGCAGCAGUAGGGAAUCUUCCGCAAUGGGCGAAAGCCUGACGGAGCAACGCCGCGUGAGUGAUGAAGGUCUUCGGAUCGUAAAACUCUGUUAUUAGGGAAGAACAUACGUGUAAGUAACUAUGCACGUCUUGACGGUACCUAAUCAGAAAGCCACGGCUAACUACGUGCCAGCAGCCGCGGUAAUACGUAGGUGGCAAGCGUUAUCCGGAAUUAUUGGGCGUAAAGCGCGCGUAGGCGGUUUUUUAAGUCUGAUGUGAAAGCCCACGGCUCAACCGUGGAGGGUCAUUGGAAACUGGAAAACUUGAGUGCAGAAGAGGAAAGUGGAAUUCCAUGUGUAGCGGUGAAAUGCGCAGAGAUAUGGAGGAACACCAGUGGCGAAGGCGACUUUCUGGUCUGUAACUGACGCUGAUGUGCGAAAGCGUGGGGAUCAAACAGGAUUAGAUACCCUGGUAGUCCACGCCGUAAACGAUGAGUGCUAAGUGUUAGGGGGUUUCCGCCCCUUAGUGCUGCAGCUAACGCAUUAAGCACUCCGCCUGGGGAGUACGACCGCAAGGNUUGAAACUCAANGGAAUUGACGGGGACCCGCACAAGCGGUGGAGCAUGUGGUUUAAUUCGAAGCAACGCGAAGAACCUUACCA